rnacentral:rRNA from 1 species
UACGAAGGGGGCUAGCGUUGCUCGGAAUUACUGGGCGUAAAGCGCACGUAGGCGGCUUUCUAAGUCGGGGGUGAAAUCCUGGAGCUCAACUCCAGAACUGCCUUCGAUACUGGAGAGCUUGAGUCCGGGAGAGGUGAGUGGAACUGCGAGUGUAGAGGUGAAAUUCGUAGAUAUUCGCAAGAACACCAGUGGCGAAGGCGGCUCACUGGUCCGGUACUGACGCUGAGGUGCGAAAGCGUGGGGAGCAAACAGGG